UGGUUUGAUUCUGGCUCAGGAUGAACGCUGGCGGCGUGCCUAAUACAUGCAAGUCGAACGAAACUUCUUUAUCACCGAGUGCUUGCACUCACCGAUAAAGAGUUGAGUGGCGAACGGGUGAGUAACACGUGGGCAACCUGCCCAAAAGAGGGGGAUAACACUUGGAAACAGGUGCUAAUACCGCAUAACCAUAGUUACCGCAUGGUAACUAUGUAAAAGGUGGCUAUGCUACCGCUUUUGGAUGGGCCCGCGGUGCAUUAGCUAGUUGGUGGGGUAAAGGCUUACCAAGGCAAUGAUGCGUAGCCGAACUGAGAGGUUGAUCGGCCACAUUGGGACUGAGACACGGCCCAAACUCCUACGGGAGGCAGCAGUAGGGAAUCUUCCACAAUGGGCGAAAGCCUGAUGGAGCAACGCCGCGUGGGUGAAGAAGGUCUUCGGAUCGUAAAACCCUGUUGUUAGAGAAGAAAGUGCGUGAGAGUAACUGUUCACGUUUCGACGGUAUCUAACCAGAAAGCCACGGCUAACUACGUGCCAGCAGCCGCGGUAAUACGUAGGUGGCAAGCGUUAUCCGGAUUUAUUGGGCGUAAAGGGAACGCAGGCGGUCUUUUAAGUCUGAUGUGAAAGCCUUCGGCUUAACCGGAGUAGUGCAUUGGAAACUGGGAGACUUGAGUGCAGAAGAGGAGAGUGGAACUCCAUGUGUAGCGGUGAAAUGCGUAGAUAUAUGGAAGAACACCAGUGGCGAAAGCGGCUCUCUGGUCUGUAACUGACGCUGAGGUUCGAAAGCGUGGGUAGCAAACAGGAUUAGAUACCCUGGUAGUCCACGCCGUAAACGAUGAAUGCUAAGUGUUGGAGGGUUUCCGCCCUUCAGUGCUGCAGCUAACGCAAUAAGCAUUCCGCCUGGGGAGUACGACCGCAAGGUUGAAACUCAAAGGAAUUGACGGGGGCCCGCACAAGCGGUGGAGCAUGUGGUUUAAUUCGAAGCAACGCGAAGAACCUUACCAGGUCUUGACAUCUUUUGACAAUCCUAGAGAUAGGACUUUCCCUUCGGGGACAAAAUGACAGGUGGUGCAUGGUUGUCGUCAGCUCGUGUCGUGAGAUGUUGGGUUAAGUCCCGCAACGAGCGCAACCCUUAUUGUUAGUUGCCAGCAUUAAGUUGGGCACUCUAGCAAGACUGCCGGUGACAAACCGGAGGAAGGUGGGGAUGACGUCAAAUCAUCAUGCCCCUUAUGACCUGGGCUACACACGUGCUACAAUGGACGGUACAACGAGUCGCAAGACCGCGAGGUUUAGCAAAUCUCUUAAAGCCGUUCUCAGUUCGGAUUGUAGGCUGCAACUCGCCUACAUGAAGUCGGAAUCGCUAGUAAUCGCGGAUCAGCAUGCCGCGGUGAAUACGUUCCCGGGCCUUGUACACACCGCCCGUCACACCAUGAGAGUUUGUAACACCCAAAGCCGGUGGGGUAACCUUUUGGAGCCAGCCGUCUAAGGUGGGACAGAUGAUUGGGGUGAAGUCGUAAAAAGGUAGC
rnacentral:rRNA from 1 species